rnacentral:rRNA from 1 species
UGUCAAACAAUUUAUUGCCGUAGGAUGGGACUGCGGCCUAUCAGCUUGUUGGUGAGGUAAUGGCCCACCAAGGCUAUAACAGGUACGGGCUUCUGAGAGGAGAAGCCCGGAGAUGGGUACUGAGACACGGACCCAGGCCCUAUGGGGCGCAGCAGGCGAGAAACCUUAGCAAUGUGCGAAAGCACGACUAGGUUAAUCCGAGUGAUUUCUGUUGAAGAAAUCUUUUGUCAGUCGUAAAACCACAGACGAAUAAGGGGUGGGCAAGUCUGGUGUCAGCCGCCGCGGUAAUACCAGCACCUCGAGUGGUCAGGAGGUUUAUUGGGCCUAAAGCAUCCGUAACCAGCUUUGCAAGUCUCCGGUUAAAUCCAGCUGCUCAACAGAUGGGCUGCCGGAGAUACUACAAAGCUAGGGAGCGGGAGAGGCAGACGGUAUUCUGUGGGUAGGGGUAAAAUCCUUUGAUCCAUAGAGGACCACCAGUGGCGAAGGCGGUCUGCCAGAACGCGUUCGACGGUGAGGGAUGAAAGCUGGGGGAGCAAACCGGAUUAGAUACCCGGGUAGUCCCAGCUGUAAACGAUGCAAACUCGGUGAUGCAUUGGCUUA